rnacentral:misc_RNA from 1 species
AAGUCGUAACAAGGUUUCCGUAGGUGAACCUGCGGAAGGAUCAUUAAAGAAAAAAGAGAACCCCUAGCUGCCAGUGUGGGUGAGCACCUCCCUGGAGGAGCGCCCGGGAAGCUUUUUGGGACGAUCUAUCCACACACCCCACUGUGAACCACCGCGCGAGAGCCAGUAAAGGGGUACACCCUCCGGGAAGCCUCCGAAAGCUCUGCGAAACCUAUAUACCUACAUAACCCGUAUGCAAGUCUCAGAAUGUACGUGUUGCGCUCCGUCGCAAACAAAAAUACAACUUUCAGCAACGGAUCUCUUGGCUCUC